CGCUCUAAGCUAUUAUUUAAAGCACCUCCUGCUCAAUGACAUUUAAAUAGCCGCAGACAUCUGUGCUAAGGUAGCAUAAUAAAUAGCCUAUUAAUUGUAGGAUAGAAUGAAAGGACAAACAAACUUUUGCCUUUAUCCAAACUCACCAAAAAACUUCAACCUAAAGUAAAAAUUCUUUUUGUCAAAGAAAGACAAUAAGACCCUAUAGAACUUAACUUAAGUUACACUGGGGCGGUUAUUUAACUAAAUCUUACAAUCACUCCUUUUAAACAUCAUAAAUAUAUAACCACCAAGUUACCUUAGGGAUAACAGCACAAUUUUUAUUUAAAGACCUUAUUUAUAUAAAAGAUUAUGACCUCGAUGUUGAAUUAAAAUAUCUACCAAAAGCAACAUUUUGCUAAGUAAGUCUGUUCGACUUUUAAAAUUUUACAUG
rnacentral:rRNA from 1 species